GGCUGUAGCUCAGUGGCAGAGCACUUGCUUCUCAGGUGUGAAGCACUGGGUUCGAUCCUCAGCACCA
rnacentral:tRNA from 1 species